AGCACUUGCACGCAGGCGCAGUCCUGUGCUCGCCGCCGGGGCACAGGGCAGAAAGUAGAGUCGCUGUUAGGGUUCUCCAACGGUGCUGACUGUGUGGGCUUCGCUUGCACCACCGCCUGGGCUGUUCUGUAAACCCCUUCGCCGGCUUGAUCACCUCAGUCCGCCAGAGGUCCACCUGAAAUCCGCCAGAAAAAUCCGCCCACGAAGAGGGCGCUCAAGCCUCCUAUGCCAGGUGCAGAAGGCGCCACACCUACGGCCACUCACCUACUUAAAAGGCGGCAUAACACUGAUCAGUUAGUGCGUGAUUUUUAAAUCACAGUUCCAAACUAGCGAGAGAAAAGCUGAAAUCGUCAUGCGAAUAUUUCUCACCACUUUCAUCCACCUCUUUACCUGCAUUUUCCCUCUUUACCAUGGCAAGUGGAAAGUCACCGGAGGAGGUGAGGGGAAGGCAGAAAAUGUGAAAAGAGGAACUCAAUAAAGACAAGACUCAAUAAAAGCAAGACCGCCAAGAGUAGCGAUCCUUUAUGAACAAAGGUUUGUGUCACUAUAAAGAUAAAGGUCCACAACUAGCCAAAGACUAAAACAGUGGGAAUGUGGAAAUAGAAGUGACAGAGGGAAGUGUCAAGAAAACUGAUCUCUGGAUUCUCAUGCUGCUUUUUGGGCAUUUACUUAUUUGAGAUGCAUGUUUUCCUCUGAAAAGAAUAGAUCAAUCACAGGUAAUGACAAUGGCUUGGUCUUUUCUCUCUUGAACAAGGUGAUUACUAUACUCUGCUUCCAAACCAUCCUCACUAAAAUCAUUGUAGGUUUAAGAGGUAAAGAGUUGCUUAGAAACUUCAGGAGCCCUCAACUUUUUGAAAUGUUCCUUUUGAAACUUUGAUGAAAUCAAAGCCAUACAGCUUCUGCCCAGAAAUGUUGAUAGGGAAAAACUAUUGCAUAGGAUUUGGCAUGAACACACCACUGAACCUCCUGCAGAGACAAACUAGUAGUCCAAAGAUCUAAAUCAAGAUCUCCUGAGCUAAACCAAUGCUCUGCCUACAGAUGAAAAAAAAACAGGUCCAGAGAGGAAAAACAGCCCAUUGAGAGAUAAAGGAAUACAGAACCCAGGCUUCCUGCUCAUUAGACUUUUAUGCUGUCCCCAUUGCCUCUUUGGAUACCAUAAGAUUCCCUUUGCCCCCAGCCUCCAUCUAUGGAGCCCUGGAGUUUAGAAUAUCUUCUAUAAUUCUCUGUAUCUUACCACUGUUGGACUCACAGCAGAAGCUAGCCCAAGUUUAGCUCUUAUCUAACACAGAGCAGCAUAAUCCUGUUGUUCCAGCUACUCAGGAGACUGAGGCAGGAGGAUCACAUGAGCUCAUGAGUUCCACACCAGCCUAGGCAACACAGUGAGCCCCUGUGUUACCAUCAAUUGUGGUAUAUCAACUCAACUGGGUAGGAAACACCUAGCAAAUUAGUGGAGCACAGUUCUGGGUGUGUCUAUGGAUAGCUGACAUAUAGGCCACAGAUUGAGGGGGGAAGACCAAAUCUGAAUGUGGGUGGCACCAAACAAUAGGUUUGUAGCCUGGAUGGAAAAGGGGGGUGGGGAGAAAGAAGUACAAUCUUAUUGAAGAGCUUCAGUCCUCUUGAGUAGGUGUGGCCUAUGCUGCUAUCGCCUUUGGACCUGGGUCUCCAGGUCUCCGGUGUCUUCAGCCUCCAAUGCAUCCACAACCCUCCAGGGAGCUUCCAGACCUUGAACUGGUGCUGCAUCCUUGAUCCCUCUUGUUCUGCGGCUUCUGGCUUCAUGGUUCAGCAGCUCCUGAAUCCUCUGGCUCUCCAGCAUGCAGAUGACCAUUGUAAGCUCGCACCUCUGACCCUGUGAGCUACCUAAUACAUCCUCUUGCAUAAUUCUACAUCUAUUUUCUAUGGACUCUGCUCCUCUACAGAACCCUAACUAAUAUACCCUGUCACAGAAAACAAGCUAGGAAAUUUAGUGGGGAACAAUAGGUACAAAGUUGAGUUCCUUAUAUUAAAGGAGGAAUUUAUCUUUUUUUAAAAGACUAUAUCAAAACCCAGAACUAAAGUUUAAAUUAAAAUGACCCAGUGAUGCAGGCUUUCCUUUC